UCACGAUGAUAUUUCUUUUUUAAAGUGUACCUAAUGUGUAUGUUUUCUUUUUUAACUCUCAACACGAAGAAAAUCGAAUUAACUGUGGAGCGAAUAAAAUGGUCCACCGAAUUGUGAAGAGGAAUGAGAACAAGAGAGAGAGAAUGAAAAUGGGGGAGAAAGAAGGGAGAAGAAGAUGGACAGAGAGAAGCAAAGAAACGAAAAGCAACGGACGAACGAGAGAUGAACGGAUACA
rnacentral:lncRNA from 1 species